CAGAUCCACAACGAGAGAGCAAGGGUGGGGGAAGGCGGAGAAAGAACUCGCGGGGGCCCAGGCAGGAGCAGGAGGAGAGCGGGGAGGCAGAGCGCACGGCGGUGGAGAGCCCCGCGAUCAAUUUUCAUGCAAGAAUCAUUAUCGCUGCGGGAGCCGGGAGUUCACUGGCCGCCGGGGCCUAAGAGGAGGAUCCCCACGCCGUGCCCAGGGGCCCUGGCCCGCCUUUUGUGAAACCCACACGGGGCUGCGGAAGCGCACACACCGGCCCGGCCCAGGGGCCCCUCAGUGCCACAACCAGCGGAAUCGCAACUUGGUGACAUUAGGAUCACCUUUUGACACCAGAUAUAAUCUUCUCGGUUUGAGGAACAGACCUGAGCCCGCAGGUACGCACGGAGGGGCACCGCGGUCACGCCAGGCUUGGGUUUCUGCCAACGCUUUCCAGCCACUGCGUAAAUCAGGGGUCCCCAGAGGCAGCCCCGGGGUCCCUGCUAAGCGCGGCGGCUUCAGAUGACAAUUGAACUCCCGGAAUAUGUGACUAGGAGAGCUCUGGAGGGCAACCUGGCGGAAUGGGGUGUCUAGGCGUGCUUUCCGACCCCUCCAUGCCACCCCUACGCCCAACGCGCCAGAAAAAUCUUAAAUGGACUGGGCGGAGCGCUCGGAGCCAAGGAGGGGUGGCGCUCGUCCCUGCCGCCACCAAUGGCUGGGUGGGUGCAGCGCCAGGCGGCAGCCUUCGCCGCCGGCUGGGCUGCCGCGGGUGCAAGAAGCGUCCUUUAAUCCCCAGGCCCCGCCGCCCCCCGCCCCCAAGCUCCUCCCCGCGGGCGGCCGAGCGCGCGCGGGCACCCGGAGGGCGCGGGGGCUGCUGACCUGAAGGGAACGGGCCCUCGGGGCCGCCCGCCCGCGCGCGCCGCCAGCAUCUGGCCGCUCCGCCCAGCGCUGACCCGGGAGGUCGCACCCGGCCCGCGGCGGCGGCGGCCCUUUGUUUCCGGGGCUGCGUGGCGGCGCGCUCCCCGCGCCUCCCCCUGCGCCUGCCGCCGCCGCCGGCCUCACGAGGGAGGCUACUGCCCGGCACGGUGGGUUCGGGGUCCAGCACCUGCCCGCCCCGGCCCCACCCCCACUCAAGCCCCGCUUUCGCCUCCCAGCCAUUUAUCACUCUCAUCACCGGCAUACUUGAUAAUCUGCGCCCCUCGGGGAGUGGGGAAGGGGUGGGGCGCACCAGGGUGCGCAGCUGGGGACCCUGGGUGAGCUGCCGCCCACCCUCCAACCCCUCAUAAGCUUGGAAAAAAAUCUCUGCUCCUACUUGGGGGAAAAAAAUAAAACUAU